rnacentral:rRNA from 1 species
AUUGAACGCUGGCGGCAUGCUUUACACAUGCAAGUCGGACGAGUGGCGAACGGGUGAGUACCGCAUCGGAACGUACCGUGUAAUGGGGGAUAACUGUCCGAAAGGACCGCUAAUACCGCAUAUUAUUCGAGCGGCCGAUGUCGGAGUAGCUGGUUGGGUGGGUAAAGGCCCACACAGGCGCAGAUCAGUAGCGGGUCUGAGAGGAUGAUCCGCCACACUGGGACUGAGACACGGCCCAGACUCCUACGGGAGGCAGCAGUGGGGAAUUUUGGACAAUGGGCGCAAGCCUGAUCCAGCCAUGCCGCGUGUCUGAAGAAGGCCUUCGGUUUGUAAAGGACUUUUAUCAGGGAAGCGGUACCUGAAGAAUAAGCACCGGCUAACUACGUGCCAGCCGCCGCGGUAAUUC